rnacentral:rRNA from 1 species
ACUCAAAUGAAUUGACGGGGGCCCGCACAAGCGGUGGAGCAUGUGGUUCAAUUCGACGCAACGCGAAGAACCUUACCUGGGCUCGAAGCGCAGUGGACCGGGGUGGAAACAUCCCUUUCUCGCAAGAGACUGCUGCGGAGGUGCUGCAUGGCUGUCGUCAGCUCGUGUCGUGAGAUGUUGGGUUAAGUCCCGCAACGAGCGCAACCCUCAUCCCUAGUUGCUAACACGUUAUGGUGAGCACUCUAGUGAAACUGCCUCCGAUAAGGGGGAGGAAGGUGGGGAUGACGUCAAGUCCUCAUGGCCUUUAUGUCCAGGGCUACACACGUGCUACAAUGCCCGGUACAAACCGUCGCAAACCCGCGAGGGGGAGCUAAUCGGAAAAAGCCGGGCUCAGUUCGGAUUGCAGUCUGCAACUCGACUGCAUGAAGCUGGAAUCGCUAGUAAUCGUGGAUCAGAACGCCACGGUGAAUACGUUCCCGGGCCUUGUACACACCGCCCGU